rnacentral:rRNA from 1 species
GUGCUCGAGUGGCGAACGGGUGAGUAACCCGUGAGUAACCUGCCCUUGACUUUGGGAUAACUUCAGGAAACUGGGGCUAAUACCGGAUAGGAGCUCCUGCUGCAUGGUGGGGGUUGGAAAGUUUCGGCGGUUGGGGAUGGACUCGCGGCUUAUCAGCUUGUUGGUGGGGUAGUGGCUUACCAAGGCUUUGACGGGUAGCCGGCCUGAGAGGGUGACCGGCCACAUUGGGACUGAGAUACGGCCCAG